rnacentral:rRNA from 1 species
CUUGCAAACUAUGAAUAAGAAGUCCUGCCUGCCCUGUGACUAUAUGUUUAACGGCUGCGGUAUCCUGACCGUACGAAGGUAGCGCAAUCACUUGUCUUUUAAAUAGAGACCUGUAUGAAUGGCAAAACGAGGGCUCAACUGUCUCCUUUCUCAAGUCAAUGAAAUUGAUCUCCCCGUGCAGAAGCGGGGAUAAACCCAUAAGACGAGAAGACCCUAUGGAGCUUUAGAUGCAAGGACAGAUCACGUUAAGCACCUCUUAACAAAGAACCAAACCGAACGAACCCUGUCCCAGUAUCUUUGGUUGGGGCGACCGCGAGGAAAAACAAAACCCCCGCAUGGACUGAGGACACACCAUUCUCCCCUCUCCUCACAGCUAAGAGCUUCCACUCUAAGAACCAGAACUUCUGACCUACAAAGAUCCGGCAAUGCCGAUCAACGGACCCAGUUACCCUAGGGAUAACAGCGCAAUCCCCUUUUAGAGCCCAUAUCGACAAGGGGGUUUACGACCUCGAUGUUGGAUCAGGACAUCCUAAUGGUGCAGCCGCUAUUAAGGGUUCGUUUGUUCAACGAUUA